UUGGGCACAUUAUUUAAACUUUCUGAACUAUUAUUUUUUUAGUUUGUAAGUUGAACAUCUACUUUAUAGGGAUGUUUCAAGAAUCAAGUGAGGUAACAUAUCUAAGACCCUCACAUGUGUCUGGUAACCAAACGGUGCUCAGUAAGUGAACACCAUUCCCUUCCUUCCCUUUCUCUUAAUGGACAGAGUAGACAGAGAAACAGAGUUCUACUUGAUGAUGCUAGCAUUCAUGGGCAAACAAUGGGAUAAUUCUCUUGGGGAAAUGAGUACAUCACUGGAUACAUUCAAGAAGGAUAUUUCUUUGGUAGAAGAUGAGUUGAACCAGAAGCAAGCUGGCAUGUGGCAGGCUGCAGAUGUUGGGAGGCCACACGGCAAGGAACUGCCGCAUCUCUAGGAGCUGAGGGUGGACCCUGACUGGCAGCCAACAAGAAACUGAAGCUCUCAAGCCUAUCACCGCCUUCAGACGUGAGCUGAAAUCUACACCAUCAGCUCUCUGACUGUCAGGCUUUGGACUAUACUUUGGGCUUUCCUGGGUCUCUUACCUGGCAGACAGCAGAUUUUGGAACUUUUCAGCCUCCAUAAUCAUUUCCCAGAAGAACCACAAAGCAUAAAUUUCCCCAAAAGGGGAAUUUUGUUGAUGGCUUUAGUCUAUUCCCUCCUAAAAGACCAGCUAUAACCAAAUGAAGUAAACAUAACCUCAAGGUUGUAUUGUCUUCAUAAUAAAAGAUGAAGCUUAGAACUGGA